CAGCAAAAAUGCCAGUGUUGAUUUUUCAGUGUUAGUAGAAUUCAACAGAGUUCCGAGUUAGUUCAACACUUAAUCGAGUUAAAAUAACACAUCGGGAGUUGAUUCCUGAAAAGUGUUGGUGUCGAUUUUAGUCGUUACUGCAUUUUAACACUGUGGGUGUUAAAUUAGACCACACCUUCAUUUCCUGUGGAGCUUCGCAUUUCAGAAUCUUCGGUCGCCAUUUUUUCUUGCUGCUGCGGUGGUGAUAUGCUGGUUCCUGACAAGAGAUGAAGAAAUCAAAGUCAGCUUUUCAAGACAGCCCCAAGACUCCUCGCAACCUGUGUUCAAAUGUGAGGCUGUUGUCAGGUGAUGAAUGCAAGGAAGAGGCACUCAACUGACAUGAAACAUGUCAAAGACAACAUGAAGGUGACAUUUCAACAUAGGCAAAAAGUGGUUCAAGAACCUGCCACAGCUUCUACUGUCCUGGACCUUUUCCCAAGAUUUCUGUAUACACCUGGCUUGGUUGACCAAGACUUCACAAUGCUGUUUGUUGGGGAGGAAGUGUCUGCUAAGUUCCUUGCAAAGUGGCCAACCAAGCCAAGGAUCAUCAAAGAUUGCAAAAAUCUGUUUUAGAGUACAGAAUUGGAUGAGCUGCUCAUUUCUGCACAGCGUUACUCUGACGAGGGUGUUUGGGACUGCGAGGCGGCUGCCAGCUUUUGCUGCUUCACUUGUACCUCCAACAUCUAAGGGAGGGAAGUCUUCAAAGAUUAGCACAUCAGAUGCUGCUCACCACCUAAUGAAAUUCAUCAAGGUGAGAGGUAGCACGGAGGCUUUUCUUAAGGCUGGCCCCACUCAGCCAUUCGUCCUGUGUGUUGGAGAAAGAAAGAACAUCAUCCAGAGUUUCUACAUUAUCCUAGAUCAAAAGGUCAUUCCCUGUGUGACACAGAUGGGAGUUGCAGGUUUUGACAAGGCAAAACUUUUCAAGGCACAUUUUUUAUUUGCCGUGUCCUUUGACAAGGCAUUGAACAACUUCUACACAUUCAUCCAGACCACCGUGUAUGGCAUUGAUGUUGGCAGUGUGAAGGAGAGUCCUCGGGUCAGGGAAACAAGAGGAAGUCUUCAUUGUACAGUUUAAAGAUAUCCACUAUUCAGCACUUUGACUGGAAAUGUUCAUCUCUUACAUUUGCAAGAUACACCACACAAGUUGCUCAGUGUUAUUUAGACAUUUGAAGUUCCAGCAUGGUUUGUACCCAGGAAGGUUUUUACGUUUGACCUGUGGAGAGCCUGGAUGUUCAUUUAUCUUUCGCACGUACUCUGAUUACAAGCAGCACUUACUCCGAGCACAUGGAGACUGUCUUCACUCUGAGGUCAUCAAUACUUUUGAGCCUGUACCUAACGAUGGAACCUCUGUUUCACAGCCUGUAAAUGUGGCUCAUCCCAUGACAAUUACUACACAGGUUCCAGUUGAAAAAAGGCAAAUACUGAACAUGUGCAGCUCUGUUAUUGCUCAGGUACAAUCAUCAGGAGUUCCUGAAAGUACUGUGCAGUGUUUAGUUGUUUCAUUGGAGGAACUGGUUAAUGACAUCCAUGCACAUGCAAAACAAUCUGUUGUUGACUGUUUGUCAACUGAUACCAUGAUACAGAUAUCAAGUUGGGAUGUAUGUUUGUUCUGGUGUUGAAAAUGAGAUGCCUUUGUUCAGUAAGAUUGUCAAUAUAAUUGUUAGAUUGCAAUGCUUAUCUUCUAACUUGUAAGACUUCAACAGUAUAUUUCAAUGAGCACUUAAAUGCAUUUGUUAUUGAGGAUGGAUUAGAUGUCUUUGCACUGAUCUCUGUAGAUGAUCUGGUGUACUACAGACCUUAUGAUAGGCAAUUUUCAAAUGGCACUGAUGACAAAAUGUACAUUGUCCCAUACUGUAAUUUUGUAUAACUUGUUUAUUUGUGGUGUAUCAGAAUACAAAGUAUUUUGGAACGUUAA